rfam:Oryza barthii chromosome 11, whole genome shotgun sequence.
UUUAAGCGUAACCGGAAGUUUCGGUGUCCAACUUUAAUCGUUCAUCUUAUUUGAAAUUUUUUUAAUUUUUAUUGUUAUGAGAUGAUAAAUUAUAAAUAGUACUUUAUAUGUGACUUAUAUUUUUUAAUUUUUUAAAAUAAGACAGACAGUUAAAUUUGUACACAGAAAAUCAUGGCUGUAUUUAAA